UCUUAGGACUAAAUGUCUUGUUGGCUAGCAGGAACAAAUCUUGUAAUCAAGACACUGGAAGGAUGUGGAUGACAUUAUGGGCAGGAGACCCUGAAGGAGAAGGGUGGAGAAGAGAUGGGGCAGAGGAGUCUACAAGGGGUGACUCGGGAGGAACCGCGGCUCUGCGGUGGUGUGUGUCUCUCUCAGGCAUGGGAGUCUCAGGAGAAUUUGGAAACUGGCAUCUGCGGAGCAGCCCCCAGAGGCCCACUGACUCCCCUCUUCCCCAAGGCCAGCCCAGGCCCAGAGAAACCCCUGAAAGUUUGGGGGAGCCCUCCCCAGCACCUGCUUCUCCUGACAUUCUACCUCUCCCUGCCAUACUUGUCCUUCCCUAAUGGACUUGGAACGCCACAAAAUCCAGAGCCUGGGUCAUUUGUAACCAGAAGCCGGCUCCUCCUACCCCAAGGGCAAAGAGGGCUAAGGCGAGAAACCCUCCCAAGGUGAAGGAAAUUUUGUCAAAGAAGAAAAAGGACAAAAACCAACAUCACCAAGAAAGCCCGGGGCAGUGGUAUCCUCACAAACACAGACACACCUGCAGACUUCUCUCACCAAAUCGAGAUUACAAAGCACAGCUUCCACUGCUUCUUAGCUUUUCACUCUGUGUUAUGCCAGGAGCAUUUUCUCAUGUCAUUUGAAAAUGGGAUUUCUGAGGGUAGCUCCCAAGGGUGACUUAGUAAAUGAACUGAAGCCAGGGGAUGAAGUGGGUUAGAGACCAGUCGUGGAUGGCACAGAGACUGGCAUCUGUAACCUGUCUCUUUCAUUUCUACCCCUUCCUCAGCCCAUCCCUAGCCUUCCCUCACUCAAGAGGCUACCGUGGCUCCCCAUUUUUAUCACAUCAAGUCUAAACUCCAGCUUUCAAACCACUCAUAACCUGGCAGGCUCUUCUCCUCUCUGUCAGUGAAUGCCCCCGACCCUCACCACGGUACCCAUUCCUCUCUUCUGUCUCUUGAGGUGCCCCCACCCCACAUAGUGCUCAAUCCUGUGUCCUUGCCCUGCUGAGCAAUUCCCUCCCUCCCUCCUCCUCUCCCCAGUCCCCCUCAUCCCUGUCAUCCAUCCCC
rnacentral:lncRNA from 1 species